AAUGUGUCUGAACAAGUAAAAAGGGAAAGGAAAAAGAAAUAUAGAGAAUGCAAAAUGAAAUUAAAACAAGCAAUAAAAGAAAGUAAGAAGAGAGUUGAUGAAGACUUUGGAAAAAGACUAAGUGAAAUAUAUAAAGGGAAUAGGAAAUCAUAUUGGAAAGAAGUAAAAAACGAAAGAAAUGCAGAAAAUAUCUCCCCAAGUAAAAUAAAUGAAGUUAUGGAUGAGAAUGGAAAGAUGUUGAAAGACGGGGAAGCUGUGAAAGAGAGAUGGAGAGAAUAUUUCAAAAACUUAAUGAAUUUUGAGGAUGGACGUCCAGCAGCUGUAACAGCAGCAGUUUUGAGUAGAGGUAGAGGAGGAGUAUAUAAAGAAAGAAGUAUAACAUAUGAAGAAGUAAAUCAGGCAUUAAAAAGAUUAAAAAAUGGAAAAGCAGCAGGAACUGCCUUCAUGGACUUUGAAAAAGCUUAUGACAGACUCGAUUGGAUUGCAUUGUGGGAUGUUUUAAAGAUUUAUGGUGUGGGAGGAAAACUGCUUAGUGCAAUAAAGUCUUUCUAUGAGGAUGCAUCUGCAUGUGUCAAAAUUGGUGGAGAAACAAGUGAACAUUUUGAGAUAAAGGUGGGAUUAAGGCAGGGGCGUGUCAUGUCACCAUGGUUGUUCAAUAUUUAUAUGGAUGGUGUCAUGAGAGAAAUAAAGGGCAAAGUUGGAGUAAAAAUGUAUGCUGAGGGAAGGCAGUGGGUGCUGAAUUCAAUCCUGUUUACUGAUGACACGGUGCUCAUUGCAGAAAAUGAAAGUGACUUACAAAACUUGGUCAGUGAUUUUCAUAGCGUCUGUAAAAGGAGAAAGCUGAAAGUAAAUGUCAACAAAAGUAAAGUGAUGGUUUGUGAGGGGAGUAGAAGUGAAGUUGUAGAUUUUGUAUGCCCUUAUAGAGUGGGAACUGAAUGUGAAAAAGAAUGCAAAAUAAUUCUGAAUGGUGAAGAAAUGGAGGAGGUCAAUGAGUUUAAGUACCUUGGAUCAGUUAUCAGUUGAAAAUACAAUAAUAGUACCAACCCUCACAUAUGCAAGUGAAACAUGGGCCUGGAAUGAAAGUCAGAGGUCUAGAGUGCAGGCAGUGGAAAUGAGUUAUUUGAGGAGUGCUUGUGGUGUGAGUAGAAUGGAUGGAAUAAGUAAUGAAAGUGUGUAUGAGCGUUUUGGAAUGUGUCACGGGGGUGAAGGGAAUAAGUGACUUUAAAGUGGUUUGGCCACAUGGAGCAAAUGGAGGAGAGUAAGAUGACCAGCAGAAGGGCGUAUGUGAGAUUGAGGGAGGGAAUGUUAGAGGACGACCUCCAGUGAAAUGGAGAGAUAGGGUGCAGGAGUACGUUAGGGAGAAGGAUGAGAGAUCCUUGAGAGAAACUUUGAGCAGGCAAGGAGGGAGUGUCCGGAUAGAGAAAGAUGGAAACUUCUGCCGUGGCCAUCCCCUGGUGGGAGCUCCUAAGAGCAGGCGUCGAUGAGAUGAUGAUGAUGAAUGAAUUGAGAGGAAUCACAGCAGAAAUGUUGAAGUGUGGAGAUGAAGUUACUAUAUGAAUGGUCAAGAUAUGUGAAGUGGCCUGGGAAGGGGGGGGAGGUCCCAGCAGACUUGACAAAAGCCAUCAUGGUCCCAGUUUACAAGGGGAAGGGCAGGAGAGGGGAGGUGGGAGUUGUAGGGGUAUAAGUCUGCUGAGUGUAGGCUACCCGGAAAGGUAUAUGGAAAAGUCCUAAUUGAGACUGCGCAAAGACUUACAGAAGAGAAAGUCAGUGAAGAACAAGGAGACUUCAGGAAGGGAAGAGGAUGUGUGGAUCAGAUAUUUUCCUUCAGGAUGGUGUUUUAUUAGAAAAAAUAUUAGCAAAAGGAAAAAAUACUAUGCUGCCUUCAUGGAUCUAGUUAUUCUAAAGAAAGUUUAUGACAGAGUCGAUUGGCUGGCAUUGUGGGACGUCUUAAAGAUAUAUGGUGUGGGAGGAAAACUGCUUUAUGCAAUAAAGUCUUUCUAUGAGGAUGCAUCUGCAUGUGUCAAAAUUACUGGAGAAACAAGUGAACAUUUUGAGAUGAAAGUGGGCUAAGGCAGGGGUGUGUCAUGUCAUCGUGGUUGUUCAAUAUUUAUAUGGAUGGUGUUAUGAAAAAUGAAGGGCAAAGUUGGGGAAAUUGAAGUAAAAAUGUAUGCCGAGGGAGGGAAGGAAGUGGGUCAGUGUUUUUGAUAGUGUAUGUAAAAGGAGAAAGUUGAAAGUAAAUGUCAACAAAAGUAAAAUGAUGGUUUGUGAGCGGAGUAGAAGGGAGGUUGUAGAGUUUGUAUGCCCAUAUAGAGUGGGCAUUGAAUGUGAAAA